rnacentral:lncRNA from 1 species
GCCAUCAUACAUUAUCCACGUUUCACAUAACCGACCUCUCCCCAUAUUAGGGUUUCAAUCCAGUUUUACUUGAAGAAAGAUAUCAACCUCCCUAUACACCAUUCUAGGUCUAAAUCAAAGAACACAACCAUCGACCUGUCUGCUCCAUAUAUUAGGGUUUUGUUGCUUCACCAUUCCAUGCUCAGGUGUUCGAUAAAAUGCUUGUACCAGAUCGUUGAAGAAAUUGGAUUCGUUGAACAAAAAACGGCUCUAUAUUUUCCUUUGGUCAUCAGCUCGUCAAAAUUAGGGGCUUUUUUGGAUUGGAAUUUGGUGCAUUUGGAGUCAUGAGCACUGGGGAUUUCCUCAACUUUUAUUUUUCUAAACUUAAGUUUCCAUCUAAAGAUGGGAUGGUGGAUGGCAACAUGCUGCGAUGGCUGCAAUGGUGAAUGGCAGCGGUGCUGCAAGCAACCUCGUGGUCGAUCCAUAGGUCAAUAAUUACAAGAAGAUAAUUGGUAUGUCAAAGUUUCUAUUAACCAACACAAGCAACUUGAAGGAUCUCUAUUCUCUCCUUUCUUCUGGAAUUUUCAUCCAUCAUGAAAAACUGGUGAUUCAAUCUCCUAAACCACGAACUGAAUGAUAAUAUAGUAAACUUGAAAGAGAUUUGGCAGCACAAACACAUGUCAAAGGUCGUGAAGCAGAGAUAGCUGCUUUGGAAGCUAGAAUAUCAGGUUAUCGAAAAGGUUUUAAUCGGCAAAAGGCAAAGAGGGACGAACUUCAUGAUAAGCGAAAGUACACCUGCAUUUUUUUCUAUUAAUUUAUCAAUUUAGAGGUGUGCAAUGUAACUAUAUUGGUCUGAACGAAGAACAUGAUUUUUGCAAUAACCAGAACUGAUUAUACUGGUUCCGGUUUGGUUGUACAGUUCUGUCCUAAUUUUGCAUCUCAUGGUUCGAUUUAUUGCACCAGACACUGAAGGUCAUUACUUAGGUAGGUUAUUGUGGGGGACAGAAAGUGCAGUUAAUGCUGAAAUUGUGCGUCUUAAAGCUGAAGUUGUGAAGGCAGAAAAAGCCUUAGAUCAUGCUACUCCUAGGGACAUAAGAAGGGGAAUCAAUUGUAUUUGGAGAAUCUGCAGGGAGUACAACAUUUCCGGAGUGUAUGGUUCAAUUAUUGAGUUGCUUGAAUGUGAUGAAAACUUAUUUACUGCUGUUGAAGUGACCGUUGGAAACAGCUUAUUCCAUGUUGUGGUUGAAAGUGAUGAAAUAUCAACUCAAGUAAAUCGACACCUUAGUGGAGAGAAAGUUGGUAGAGUUACAUUUAUACCCCUUAACAGGGUUAAGGCUCCUUAUGUCACUUAUCCACCAACUUCUGAUGCCAUUCCUCUUCUUAAGAAACUGAAAUAUUCCCACAGUUAUCAUCAAGCAUUUUCUCUAGGGCUGUUCGUGAGCCGAGCCGAGACGAGCUAGGGCAUGCUCGGGCUCGACUAGAUUAUAAACCGAGCUAGCUCGGCUCGGAUUUGAAACCGAGCUGAAAAUCUAAGCUCAGGCUCGGCUUGGUUUUAAACCGAACUGGCUCGGCUCGGCUAGCUUUGCGCUCGGUUGGUUGAUCACAAACGGAACUGGUCUAGCCUCGUACCCGAUUGACACAGUGCGAAGAAGAAUGAUGAUGACAUCUGGGGAAGCCGUCAAGUACUAGAACAUAUUUGACGCGUUCAACCAAAUCGUGAAAAAGGAAGGUGUCAAAUCAUUGUUCAAGGGUGGAGGUGCUAACAUUCUCAGAGCUAGAGCUGUGGCUGGUGCAGGUGUGCUUGCCGGUUGACAAUGGUCAAGAUCCAACUCUUGAUUCUCUUGUUAACUUGGCAAGCCUUUUGAUUAUUUAUGAUUUUAUUGCCUUGUAGUUUACAUUUGUUUCAUGUAUUAAUCAAAUUGGCACUUUGUUUCAUGUAUUAAUCAAUGGUGACGUUUGUGACAUUAUGUAUGAUUUUACUACCUUUUAGUUUACAUUUGUUUCAACACAUAUUAAGAUCAAUACCAACACA